GCCACCCACCCGAUCUGCCUCGCCUCCCACUCGCGUCCAAACUCCCCUCCUCUCCCUUGCCGGACGGUUCCGCCGCCCGCUCGCGUUCCUUGCCUCCGCCGCCGCCGCGUCCCUACGACCCUACCUUGCCGCGGCAAGCCGUUGCUUCCUCCCCUUUCUGCCACUCCUUUCCUUCCUCCACUCCACUUUUCUGUUGGCGUCUCCUCCAGUCGAAUUGGUUUUCCUUCCCCCAAACCUUAGGGUUUGGAUUUCCUCUAUUCCUUCCGUUCCAAAUUAGCGCGUAUUGUGCCGGCGUGCCACUCAUGCUUGAUGGAUGCGACAGGGUCAUCCAGUUCUAUGUGCCCUACUUGCCUGCCAUCCAGCUCUAUGGAGACUCCGCUGUCCUGCGGACACCUACUAGCACAACACAAGGUAUGAGCGACUAUAUUAGAGAAAAAGAGAGCCAUACGGGAGGUUGAUUAGCUAGCAUUGCUUCUGGGGUGAUGUUACCAUGCGAGAUUCCGGGGUCCUGUUUUUCCAGCAGCCUCCAUAUCUUUUCAAAUGAGUACCAUGUGUUGGUCCCUCAUAAUUUUCCUUGUCUGAAGAAGUGGGAAGGACGACAAUGCUAUUGGAGAUGGCAAAUGUGAUACCCUGAUGGUGAGACUGACACAUGGUGGGAGCGGACCUCAGGUGGAGAUGCGAUGGAGAAUUGUUUUUUGAAGGGAGAUGUGGGUUCAGAGUUCGAAGGUUGUUUGAAUUUGACUUGCACAAUGAAAAAUCAAAAUAUAAAUGUUAGAGAUUUUGUAUACUUGUCUCAUCAAGAAACUUGGACUUACCAAAUAAUCUAAUGGGAUCUAAUGUAACAUGGAUUUUACUGAAAAAUGCAAAUCUCGUAUUACAUUG